UUAGUGCAUUGUUGAAUGUCUGGAUUUUUUUAAAAAUCCAUUGAUACUGUAGCACAGAGUGUUGGAAUCCAGAUGAUGAUAGUGGACUGUUCGAUAUUACCACAUACAUAGGUGGUCCUGUGACCUUUGGCCAUAUCUGAUUGCUGCUCAGCUGGCGCAGAUACAGGAGCAUUUAUAGACAUGGCACAAAUAGUACACCCAAAGCUUUCAACAUAUAGUGAGCCCUAAGAUCAAGAUCAGAUUGGACCCCAUGAGCUCUGGCGAUUGCCCUCGGAGAUUGACCAGGCAAGGACAUUCUUCGCCUACCAGCGCAUGGAGCUCAGGGGCAGCUACAGAAUGGCUGCUGAGAGGCUAAAGAGCUGAUUAACUUCCUCUGCAGGCAGGAAGUGCCCUGCAAAACAAUGAGAAGACACAACAGGAAGUCAGAGAAAAGUUUUGCCCUGAGGGAUUCAAGGAGAAGAAAAGCAUUUUAGAUACCAGCAGAUUACUAAAACUCUUCCCACUGGACAAAUUGGAAAUGUGAUGUUAAUAAAUAAAUAUAAAAUGUUA